UACGGAGGGUGCGAGCGUUGUCCGGAAUCACUGGGCGUAAAGGGCGCGUAGGUGGCGCGGGCAGUCAACGGUGAAAGUUCGGGGCUCAACCCUGAAUCGGCCGUCGAUACUCCCGGGCUGGAGCACUGUAGAGGCUAAUGGAAUUCCGGGUGUAGCGGUGGAAUGCGUAGAGAUCCGGAAGAACACCGGUGGCGAAGGCGGUUAGCUGGGCAGUUGCUGACACUGAGGCGCGACAGCGUGGGGAG
rnacentral:rRNA from 1 species